UUGGGGCCAGGCCCAGCCCAGGAGAGAGGCUCAGGCCAAGGUGAAGAAGGGGAUGCUGGGGAGGGAUGCAAAUUAAAUUGCACUCUCCUUGGCUUGGGAAACAAACAGCCAACAGAUUUGAAAGCUGGAGAUGAUGCAAAGAAGCCAAGGAGAAACAUGAAAACUCAAAUGUGCCCUGAACCAGUCUUAACCCCCAAGUCAAGGAAUGUAAAGUGCUGCAUUUUCUGGGAGCAAGAGAGCAAGUCUAUAUGGAAACGAGGUACUCUGAUGUGGUUUGGGAACCAAAAAAUAAAAGUGUUUAAGAGAGUACCAGGGGGCUUCCCUGGUGGCACAGUGGUUGAGAGUCUGCCUGCCAAUGCGGGGGACACGGGUUCGAGCCCUGGUCUGGGAGGAUCCCACAUGCCGUGGAGCAACUGGGCCCGUGAGCCACGACUUGUGAGCCUGCGCGUCUGGAGCCUGUGCUCCGCAGCAAGAGUGGCCGCGAUAGUGAGAGGCCCGCGCACCGCAAUGAAGAGCGGCCCCCACUCGCCGCAACUAGAGAAAGCCCUCAUGCAGAAACG